CGGGCCCCAAGCUCAGGAGCUGUGCAGGUCUCAGGCUGACAGCGCGGCUCCCGCGGAGCCCCAUGUGCCCGCGUCUGUCCCGGCGGUCAGAGACCUCAGACUGCAGCGUGCGGCCCGCAGACUUGGGCUUCCAGGAAGGCAGGGCGGGGUCUGCGUACCGUGAGCUCCAGGGACCGCUGAAGUGCGGGGCUCAGCAGGGGCCUCGGUGAAAAUCUUUGUUACUACCCCUCUCCUGAGCUGACUCACCCCGGAGCCUGUGAAGCUUCCCAGAGAAGCAGCACAUUAAAUCACAUUCAGAGGAGAAGCUGCAGUCGGAGUCGGAACUAUUUUUCCUGGCAUCAGACCCAGAGAGAAGCUCAGCUGGGGAGUGUGGGGAGCUGAACAGACCUGAGCUGCGGGGUGACCGUGAGUCUUCCUCCAGAUCUCCCUCCCUGCGUCCAUGCCCUCCUUCUCUCGGGGGCUAGUCUUUAAAGUAAUUGAAUAGUCUUUUUAUGAGAAGGGGCCUAGUGGGAGUGAU